AUGCAAAAGGCUUGCCUCCAGGUUACAACAACACAACCACACCACAAAACCACAAUCCAGACCCACAAAACUCACAACAACGCAUCAUGCGAUAACAACACAACUAAACGCCCCAGAAAACUCACAACAACGCAUCAUGACUAUAACAACACAACUAAACGCCCCAGAAAUACAAAACUUGGCAAAACAAUGCAAAAGCCUUGCCUCCCAGUUGUAACAACACAACCACACCACAAAAACACACUGGACCCACAAAACUCACAACAGUGCAUCGUGACUAUAACAACACAACUAAACGCCCCAGAAAUACAAAACUUGGCACACAACUAAACGCCCCAGAAAUACAAAACUUGGCAACACAACACAAAAGCCUUGCCUCUCAGUUGUAACAACACAACCACACCACAAAACCACCAUCCGGACCCACAAAACUCACAGCAACGCAUUGUGACUAUAACAAAUACAAAAUUUGACAACACAACUCAUCCACCUCCCCAAUCCCUACAUUCACACUUGGCCUCCAAAAAAACAAUUACAAUAAUAACAAUGACAACAACAACAACAAUAAGAAUCAACACCAUCACAGGCAAGAAACAGCCAGGCACUGAGGCUGAGAGGCCAGUCAGUGCUACACUGGGCCUCCAAAAAACAAUACAGUAGCAUCUAACUUAUCCAACCUUCAUGACCACAACAACAACAACAAUAAUAAACACCUACACAGGCAAAACAAAAAAAAGACUAUUGUACCACAAUAAAAAUAUAAACCGCACUCAGGAGAAUCAGACAUUACAACUAACAACAAACCAAAGACAACUGGGAUCUCAAGCAAUUAUCAAUCAACACAAAAAUUGAAGAAGGUAACAGACUUCAAAUACUACUACUAAUGUGAGUAUAAAGAAGGUGGAGGUCACAGCAUCAAUACAACCUAAUGUAGACUGAACAACACCACCAGACUCAGCCACAGCAACGCGUGGCCGGGCACAGCUAGUAUCCUAUAAUUUACGUUUUAUCCAGUUGUGUGGAUAAACAUUUAUCCAUCUUGAGAUCAAACUGAUGCUCCUCUUAAUAUUUUGAGCCAGUGAUCAAAAGUUAUAAUCCAUAUUUUUUUUUCUGGAAACUGAUUUGUCCAUCAAAGACAGUUUUUAAAGUAUGAGUAACUGUUAACACUAUAAAUUUUGUUUUAGCAUUGAGCAACAUUACUGAUGUAUUGGUUUGAGUGUUAUGACUCCGGAUUCCAGGGUUUGAAUCCCUGCUCAGUGAUGGAAACCCACUAGAUGUCCUCAGGAAAGUCACACUUUCUCAGCUUCAAGGGAUGGUAAAAACAUCACAAACAUCCGGGUGUCCCCUGGGCAACGUCCUUGCAGACGGCCAAUUCUCUCACACCAGAAGUGACUUGCAGUUUAUCAAGUCACUCCUGACAAGAAAAAAAGACUUCAAGGGAAGGGAAACGCCCUCUGAACAAAUUUUGUCCAGGAAACCCUGUGACAGGUUUGUGUUAAGUAAUGACUCAAGCUCUGAAUUAUCUUAAUGUUUGGAUAGUUGGGAAAAAUGACCUUAAAUACCCUGAUUCAAACUUGACUAGUUAGAAGUUGACUCUUCAAGAUUAAUGUAUAUCUUCAUUUUUAUUUCAGAUAUCAGGCACUGAUAAGACCCCUGCAGAAAACUAAUGCAGCUCAGGAAGAAUUUACACAUAAAUCAUCUUUGCCAAACACUAACACAAUCCCUUGUAUACUUAAAACAUGAAUUAAGAUGUACAUGCAACGAUGCCAUUUCAGGUGGGAAGACGAGGGAGGGGAGGAAUAUCAUCAGAAGAAAAUUGCUUUUAUUCUAGCUUAACACAUGGACUUAUUAUCACAUCAAGGAGAUGAGAUGAUGGAGAAACCAGAAAAUUGCAGACAUAAUCCUUCACCCAAGUAUUUACAGACAGAAUUGAUGCUGAAGUCAGGGGAAACAUAACUCAUUCUUUCAGGGCAGGACCAAGGAAUGAUCUGUAAGACAUUUCAUCAAUCCAGACAGAUAAAUAAAAUAGAUACUGAACUACACAAAUUCCCAGUUUAAAAUGCAAAUUACAAUCCUGUAAGUUGUUUCUUUUAAAAAAAUUAAUACGCCUAAUUUAAAUAUAAGCGGAGUGGCUAUACGUAAUUAAAAGUAAUUAAAUGCUGACUAACAUAAUAAAUUAAAGUAAACAACAACAACUAAUAACCUAUUAAAGGUAAAGGUUUUCCCUUAACAUUAAGUCCAGUCGUGUCUGACUCUGGAGAUUGGUGCCCACCUUUAUUUGGAAGUUGAAGAGCCAGCAUUGUCUGUAGACACCUCCAAGGUCAAGUGGCCGGCAUGACUGCAUGGAGCACCAUUACCUUCCUGCCAGAGCAGUACCUAUUGAUCUACUCACAUUUGCAUGUUUUCUAACUGCUAGGUUGGCAGAAGCAGGGGCUAACAGCAGGAACUCACUCCACUCCCCAGAUUCAAACCACCAACCUUUCGGUCAAGUUCAGCAGCACGGCGGUUUAACCCGAUGCACCACCAAGGACUCCUUAAUAAACUACUAACAAAAGGAAAAAAUGGUUCCUCAGUGGGUGGAAUUUUUCAGUGAGAUCCUUCAAAAUUAACAAUUUUGUAUUUAAGGAAAGUAUACGGUAUACAGUAGAGUCUCACUUAUCCAACAUAAACGGGCCGGCAGAACGUUGGAUAAGCGAAUAUGUUGGAUAAUAAGGAGAGAUUAAGGAAAAGCCUAUUAAACAUCAAAUUAGGUUAUGAUUUUACAAAUGAAGCACCAAAACAUCAUGUUAGACAACAAAUUUGGCAGAAAAAGUUGUUCAAUAUGCAGUAAUGCUAUGUAGUAAUUACUGUAUUUAUGAAUUUAGCACCAAAAUAUCAUGAUAUAUUGAAAACAUUGACUACAAAAAUGCGUUGGAUAAUCCAGAACGUUGGAUAAGCGAGUGUUGGAUAAGUGAGACUCUACUGUAUCUAUAGGUGGAUAAACAUAUCAUAACAAAAAGAGAAACAAGUGGAAUUUGGGA
ensembl:lncRNA